AUGAGCCAGCUGAGCAUCCAACGCACACGCACCCGCACACUUCACAGCUCGCACACCGCCACCCGGCAAAACCAAAGCAGAAACGGUUCCCGUACUGUUCUGCUCCCCCGGUCGAGCAGAGGUGACCAGGGCCUCAUGCGUUCUCCCAAGCAACCGGCGAAGCUCGUCAUGCUUUUACUGUUGGCACUGCUGCUGCUCUGUAACGGAGUUGGCAACGUCCAUUGCACAAGGAUCCACGAGAACAGCGUCGAUCUGCACGCGCUGCUAGACUUCAAGCAGGGCAUCAACAAUCCUCAGGAAGCCUUGAGCAAUUGGAGCACCACCACCCACUUCUGUCGAUGGAAUGGUGUCAUCUGCACCACGACACGGCCGUUUCGUGUCUUGUCGCUUAUACUCACUGAAUUGGACUUAGCAGGCCAAAUCAGCUCCUCUCUUGGAAACUUAACCUUCCUUGAAACGCUUGACCUUUCAUAUAAUAACUUCGUUGGUCCCUUACCUGUCCUUGGCCAUCUCCAACAACUCCAGACACUUUCUCUGAACAACAACAGGUUAAAUGGGAUGAUUCCUGAUUCACUUACCAACUGUUCCAGCUUGGACACUUUAGAUCUCUCUGUAAACUUCCUAGUGGGUCCAAUUCCUCCGAAUUUGGACUUGCUUUCAAAUCUUACUUACUUAGAUCUCUCUAGUAACAUGCUAGUGGGUCAAAUUCCUCCGAAACUAGUUUCUCUAUCAAAGCUGGUCACAUUAGAUCUCUCCCAUAACAUGCUAGUUGGUCCAAUUCCUCCGAAUCUGGACUUGCUUUCAAAUCUGACUUACUUAGAUCUAUCUAGAAACUUGCUAGUGGGUCAAAUUCCUCUGAAAAUAGUUUCUCUACCAAAGCUGGCCACAUUAGAUCUCUCUACUAACAUGCUAGUGGGUCAAAUUCCUCCGAAGUUAGGCUUUGUUUCAAGUCUAGAAUACUUCAGUUUGGCAUCAAACAAACUCGAGGGAAGCAUUCCUAAUGAGCUUGGGCAAUUGCCUAGUUUACAAUACUUGCUCCUGGGAGAAAAUAAUCUUUCAGGUGAAUUCCCGCAUUCCAUCUUGAACAGAAACCUUUCUGUUUCUCUCCUAUAUCUAGGCUUGGAGCUGAAUAUGCUAGGCAAGGUAUUGCCACCUAAUAUAGGUGACCUUCGGGGUCUCGUACACCUUACAAUGAGUGGCAACAUGUUUGAAGGGCACAUCCCAGCUUCCCUAGGCAACGCCACAGGAUUAAAAGUAAUAGACUUAUCAGCUAACAAUUUCACCGGGCAAAUUCCUAACUCUUUUGGAAAGCUCUCAAAUCUGACUAAUCUAAACCUUCAGUAUAACCAGCUUGAAACAAGGGACUGGGAAUUCUUCAAUGCAUUGACGAACUGUCGUUCUCUAAACUCACUCUCACUGGGUUUCAACCAGCUGCAGGGAUCUAUACCGCAGUCUGUCGGUAACCUAUCCAACAAACUAGAAAAACUUACUUUGACUCAAAAUAGCUUAUCAGGACAAGUACCCCAGAGCAUCGGCAACCUUAGUGCAUUAAAUCAACUGGCACUAGGUAUAAACAACUUAAGCGGCACAAUAGAAGGAUGGAUUGGAAACCUAAAAGGCCUUGAAGGAUUAACUCUCCGCUCAAACCGCUUCACCGGCCAAAUCCCACCCUCUAUUAGCAAUCUUACUCGGUUGAUAAAUCUUUAUCUCUAUGAUAAUCAAUUCGAGGGCCUCAUACCCCCCAGCCUGGGAAACCUCCCACUCACACAGCUAGUCCUUAGCUCUAACAAUCUUUACGGGUACAUACCACCCAGCUUAGGAAGCCUCCAACAGCUUACGUCAUUGAAUCUUAGCCACAAUAAUCUCCAAGGUGAGAUACCUCAGAUUAGCGCCCUUAAGCAACUCACUACUUUAGAUCUUUCUUCAAAUAAGCUCACAGGGAGUAUUCCAGAUUCUUUGGGCCAAUGUUACGGCUUACGGAGUCUGCAAAUGGACCAAAACUUUCUGUCAGGAAACAUCCCAAUAGCCUUUGGCAAACUGUUGUCUCUGAGUAUACUAAAUCUAUCACACAACAACUUGUCAGGCACCAUCCCGUCGGCUCUAAACAAACUAGAGUUCCUAAACCAUCUUGACCUUUCAUAUAAUCAUCUUGAAGGAAAAAUACCCAGAGAUGGAGCAUUCGAAAAUGCUACGGCUGUUUCACUUGAGAACAAUUGGGGGCUCUGCGGAGGCGCCGUGGAUCUUCACAUGGCUUCAUGCACAACCAUUUCCAAGAAAGAAGAGGAGAGACGAUACCGUUUGAUUAAAGUAUUGAUUCCAAUAUUUGGAUUCUUGUCACUGGUACUGUUGAUCUACUUUGUACUCCUUGAGAAGAAGAUGCGAAGGGCAAAUGAUACAUCAGCUUCAUUAGGCGAGAAUUUUCUGAAGGUUUCUUAUGCGGAUCUAGCACAAGCCACAUCAAACUUCUCUGAAUCUAACCUGGUUGGGAGAGGAGGUUAUGGCUCUGUCUAUCGCGGAAAGUUAAAGGAUUCUAAGGUGGAAGUGGCCGUCAAGGUUUUUGAUCUUGAAAUGCAUGGAGCUGAGAGAAGCUUUCUGAAAGAAUGCGAGGCACUGCGAAGCAUUCAGCAUAGAAAUCUUCUUCCCAUCAUAACUGCUUGCUCGACGGUAGACAAUACAGGCAAUGUUUUCAAAGCUUUAGUUUAUGAGUUCAUGCCUAAUGGGAACCUAGACACAUGGCUGCAUCACAGAGAGGACGGGAAGGCUCAUAAACAUUUAAGCUUAGCUCAAAGAUUAGACAUAGCUGUUAACAUGGCUGACGCACUGGAUUAUCUACACCAUGACUGCGGAAGACCCACCAUCCAUUGUGACCUGAAGCCCAGCAACAUUCUUCUGGAUGAUGAUAUGACCGCUCUUUUAGGAGACUUUGGUAUUGCAAGUUUUUACCAAGAUUCCAGGUCAACAUCACCUGGUUCAGUGAGUUCAUCAUCAGUCGGUAUGAAGGGUACUAUUGGAUAUAUUGGUCCAGAGUACGCGGGAGGUGGCCGCCAUGCAUCAACUUGCGGAGAUGUUUACGGUUUUGGGAUAAUACUGCUGGAAAUGAUGACCGGAAAAAGACCAACAGAUCCAUUGUUCAAGGAUGGAGUUAGCAUUGUCGACUUUGUGGAGAGCAACUUUCCACAUGAAAUAGUUCGUGUCAUUGAUGCUAAUCUCAGUGAAGAAUGCAAGGACAUUGCUCAAUCAAAGAAGAUUUCAGAAAAUUCAGUUCAUCAAUGUUUGCUAUCUGUGCUGCAACUAGCACUUUCCUGUACGCACCCAGUACCAGGCGAAAGAAUGAAUAUGAAAGUGGUGGCCAGCAAAAUGCAUGCAAUUAAAACAUCCUAUGGGGGCUGCAAUGCGCAAGAGUGA
rnacentral:rRNA from 1 species